CCUACGGGAGGCAGCAGUCGAGAAUCAUUCACAAUGGGGGAAACCCUGAUGGUGCGACGCCGCGUGGGGGAAUGAAGGUCUUCGGAUUGUAAACCCCUGUCAUGUGGGAGCAAAUUAAAAAGAUAGUACCCCAAGAGGAAGAGACGGCUAACUCUGUGCCAGCAGCCGCGGUAAUACAGAGGUCUCAAGCGUUGUUCGGAAUCACUGGGCGUAAAGCGUGCGUAGGCUGUUUCGUAAGUCGUGUGUGAAAGGCGCGGGCUCAACCCGCGGACGGCACAUGAUACUGCGAGACUAGAGUAAUGGAGGGGGAACCGGAAUUCUCGGUGUAGCAGUGAAAUGCGUAGAUAUCGAGAGGAACACUCGUGGCGAAGGCGGGUUCCUGGACAGUAACUGACGCUGAGGCACGAAGGCCAGGGGAGCGAAAGGGAUUAGAUACCCGAGUAGUC
rnacentral:rRNA from 1 species